ensembl:lncRNA
GCCUGAUGGAGGUGAAUUUCACACAAAAACAAGCUGGAAAAACUGGACUCAAAGGAUCUUUCACCUGCUCUGAUUGUGGAAAGAGUUACAUACAUAAAAUGCAAAACAUGAAAUCUCACACUGGAGAAAGAACAUUCACAUGCAGUCAGUGUGGAAACAGUUACACGCUUCAAAAACUUGUGCACAAGAUAUCAUACUGGAGAGAGGCCUUAUUCAUGCACUCUGUGUGGAAAGAGUUUUUAACACCAUACUGACCACAGAUCAAGUGUGUAUUUACAUUUUUUCAACUGGAAUGGCACCAAAUAUUUUUCAAUUCCUAUUUAAAUUGACAUUUACAAUAUAAGAGAAAAUAAAAUCAGUUAUGAAACCUGAAUGAAAUACACAUGGAGAUCUGUUUUUGAAUGAAUAUGUUCAGUUGGUUUGUGCAUAGCCUAUUAUUUCCUGUUAUAUAAUGAUUUGUGCUGUAGCAAUGUAUAAUUUUAUUUGCCAUUUCAUCUUGUAUUUCUUAUAAAAGUGAUAUAAUGACUAAACUAGUCAGUUUAAAUUUCCACUAUAUACUUUUGCAUCUGACAGGCUUCACAUGAUGUAUUUGCUUCAAUUCACAAGCUUGUGACUUACUUCACAGAUCUCCAUUUUCCACUUUUUCAUGUUGUUUCCAAACAUCUCAAGCAUUUGAUCUGAUUUGGUCACAUUGUUCAGUUCACUAGAAUUAACACAAUAUACUGAUCUAGGUCAUCCUUGCAUUUCAUGUCAAAUUUUGUGCUUUAUACAUUAUAAAUAAUAUUUUUUAUAAUUCAGUGCAGUUAUGGCAUCAAGGUUCUGCCGACUCGUGAUGCAUUCAUGAUGCAACCAAAAUGCCUGCGAGUUUGCACAGAGAAGAACUUCUGCUGUCUAGUGGCCAAAGAUGGUAACAAGAGCUAGUUCAGGCUACAGUGUGUGUGUUUUAAUGUGUUUUUAUGGAUAUUGGGCGUGUUUCACAUUCCUAAAUGAAAAUUUCCCAUAUAACACUGGAACAUUUUGCCUUCUUCUCCCAGAAAGGAUCAUGUUCAAGCAGGUGAUAUGGACGUCAGUCGAUGUUGGAUCAGGCCUAUUCCAAUACAGUAUCCAGAUUUGUUUGCUUCAGGGGCAAUUUUCUCAUUUUUACUGCAUUGUGGUUGUUCUCUUUCUUUGCAUGACUCUUAACAAAAUAUUCUUGAUGUACACAAAUACAAGGUUACCCAACUUACAAUAAAACAUACUGCAAGUGUCAACAUUCAUGGUUUAAAAUAUGCCUUACUGUUUUAUAUCCUUAUUAAACACCUGGAUUUGAAAUUGGGAGAACCGUGACGUCACAAUUCUCCUCGACAUGCCCCUAAACAUGCAUAUUCAUCAUAUUGAAUCAAGGAGUUAAAAACAUUUACAUUUAGUCAUUUAGCAGACCCUUUUAUCCAAAGCGACUUACAGAUGAGAACAAUGGAAGCAAUCAAAAUGAACAAAAGAGCAAUGAUAUACAAGUGCUAUAACAAGUCUCAGUUAGCUUAACGCAAUACACAUGGCAAGGGCUUUUAAAUAAUAUAAUAAAUAAAAAGAAAACAGAUAGAAUAGAAAAAGAAUAGAGCAAGCUAGUGUUAGAGGUCUUUUUUUUUGCUUUUGUCAAUUGUAUAAUAAAUAAAAAGAAAACAGAUAGAAUACAAAAAGAUUAGAAAGCUAGUUAGAAUUUUUAAGAAUAGAAUUAGAAUAGUGAGUGCUAAAGUUAGAGGGUCAAAUAAAGAUGGAAGAGAUGUGUUUUUAGCCGAUUCUUGAAGAUGGCUGUUCUUGAGUGUGCUGUACAUGAACUGUAUCACUCACCUCUUUGAUUCUGAUACAUCAGAUUGACUCUCAGGUAUUUCUGCAUCACGAGAGACUGAAGAUGCAAAAAUAAUAGGCUACUGCUUAUUACCCUCAUAGAGUUUGCUGGAUGAAUUGUUGCAUAUUAGAAGAGGUGAUAACGUAAAAGCGAGUGAGAAAAAAUAAGCUGCUCUCUGUUUAUCACUAUAACUGAACUUCAAGUUACUCCAAUAAUAAAAAAAAAAAAACGCAAGCAACUAGAAAGUGACUGAUUUUAUAUUCCCUGUGGUUUCUUUUCAAGUUUUAAUAUCCAUCAAGGAUUCAUCAGGGCUAUUAAAUACUCACAGUGUGGUUUCGGAUCACUCAUUCUAUUCCGUUUAACAAUAUUUUCCACAUUUGCUGGUUUAAAUCACCUGAUUCAGGAUGUUAUCACUCGACUGAAUGGCCGUUAUCAGUGAUAACAUCUGAAUCGGGUGGUUUUGAUCCUCUGGCUUGUGAAUUUUCCUCCAUCCUCUUCCUCUUAAUCUCUCUCCUCUAAUUCUUCCAUCUUUUAUGUGUUUUCCCGAACAAAUCGCACUAAAUAAACUGCGGGGCAUUGUUUUUUUCUCUCUGUCUCUGUGAACAUUACUACAUAAAAAUACCAGUCUUUCAGAUAUCAAUGUAUUUAUGUUUUCA